AUGGCUGCCGGAGGAGUGGUGCUCAACCUGCGCGUCCCGUCGGCGUCAGUGGCGCCGGCGCGGCGGUGUGGGACGGCGUCGUCGUCGUACCACCCGGACGUCGUGCGCCAAGAAAAUAGCGACAGCGUGGACUUCGAGCGGAUCAACGCGGCGUACCAGAGGGUGAUGAGCAACAUGCGGGAGGCGGAGGCGAGGCUCGAGUACUGGCGCCGCCGCUACGGCCUCGCCGACGAGGACCUCGACCGCUACCGCCGCUACCUCAACGACGACGACGAGGACGACUGGUUCGCAGACCUCUGA
rnacentral:rRNA from 1 species